AAGCCAGUAACUAAAUCUGCUUACUUGAAAGUGUUGGUAAAAAUCUAGAAACAGCUGGAACUAGUAAGGCUAUGUUAUGAGCCUUAAAGGCACUAAGGUUGUUAGGGUCCUAAAGUGGUUAGAAGA